AACGAACGCUGGCGGCAGGCUUAACACAUGCAAGUCGAACGCAUCGCAAGAUGAGUGGCAGACGGGUGAGUAACGCGUGGGAACAUACCCUUUUCUACGGAAUAGCUCUGGGAAACUGGAAUUAAUACCGUAUACGCCCUACGGGGGAAAGAUUUAUCGGGGAAGGAUUGGCCCGCGUCGGAUUAGCUAGUUGGUGGGGUAAAGGCCUACCAAGGCGACGAUCCAUAGCUGGUCUGAGAGGAUGAUCAGCCACAUUGGGACUAAGACACGGCCCAAACUCCUACGGGAGGCAGCAGUGGGGAAUAUUGGACAAUGGGCGCAAGCCUGAUCCAGCCAUGCCGCGUGAGUGAUGAAGGCCUUAGGGUUGUAAAGCUCUUUCACCGAUGAAGAUAAUGACGGUAGUCGGAGAAGAAGCCCCGGCUAACUUCGUGCCAGCCGCCCGGUAACAC
rnacentral:rRNA from 1 species